UCAGGAUGCUGUGACCUUGGUGACAGCACGGCCAACACAGGAAGCCUCGGCAUUCACCUGGUCACUGAGCUCAUUCAAGCAAAGCGAUCUCCAGUAGGGACUUUCCCUUUUGAGAACAUGUGCAAAGGGUCAGCAAACUGACACUUUGCUCAUUUUAAUAGUAAAAACCAUACCCCUGGGUGGAGAUUUAAGAUGCUAAUGAGACAUGAGUCCUAGGAGCAAGCAUGUAUAGCAAAUGCGCAUGUGCACCCAGAGGACCACCCAG
rnacentral:lncRNA from 10 species